UAAUGAAGACAUAGAGCAAAUGGAGAAAGAUGGCAAAGAUUUUAAUGAGGAAGAUAGUUUAUUGUCAGCUGCUUUACCUACCAACUGGAACAAAAUAACCCCAGAAAAGCUUCGCACUCCAAAAUCGAAGCCAUUGAAAACCAUUUUAAAGAAGGCUUGUGCUAAUAAGGAAAAUAAAAAUAUUCUGUCAAAUAAAAUUAUUUCCUGGGCUGCAAAUAAAGCUGAAUUAGUCUCCAAGGAGACAAAAUACCUUGAAAAACAUCUUUUGAGAGUAGAAAUGAUGAAGGAACGCCACAAACAUCAAAUGGCACUAGAAAC